CCUACGGGAGGCAGCAGUGAGGAAUAUUGGACAAUGGGCGCAAGCCUGAUCCAGCCAUGCCGCGUGCAGGAAGAAGCAUCUAUGGUGUGUAAACUGCUUUUGUACAGGAAGAAACACUCCCUCGUGAGGGAGCUUGACGGUACUGUAAGAAUAAGGACCGGCUAACUCCGUGCCAGCAGCCGCGGUAAUACGGAGGGUCCGAGCGUUAUCCGGAAUCAUUGGGUUUAAAGGGUCCGUAGGCGGUUUAAUAAGUCAGUGGUGAAAUCUGGUCGCUCAACGAUCAAACGGCCAUUGAUACUGUUAGACUUGAAUUAUAAGGAAGUAACUAGAAUAUGUAGUGUAGCGGUGAAAUGCUUAGAUAUUACAUGGAAUACCAAUUGCGAAGGCAGGUUACUACUUAUGGAUUGACGCUGAUGGACGAAAGCGUGGGGAGCGAACAGGAUUAGAUACCCUGGUAGUCCACGCCGUAAACCGAUGGAUACUAGCUGUUCGGAGCAAUCUGAGUGGCUAAGCGAAAGUGAUAAGUAUCCCACCUGGGGAGUACGUUCGCAAGAAUGAAACUCAAAUGAAUUGACGG
rnacentral:rRNA from 1 species